CCUACGGGUGGCAGCAGUAGGGAAUUUUUCACAAUGGGCGAAAGCCUGAUGGAGCAACGCCGCGUGCAGGAUGAAGGCCUUCGGGUUGUAAACUACUUUUAUAAGCGAGAAAUAUGAUGGUAACUUAUGAAUAAGGAUCUGCUAACUACGUGCCAGCAGCCGCGGUCAUACGUAGGAUCCGAGCAUUAUACGGAGUGACUGGGUGUAAAGAGUUGCGUAGGUGGCAUAAUAAGUAGCUAGUGAAAUCUGGUGGCUCAACCAUUCAGACUAUUAGCUAAACUGUUAAGCUCGAGACCGCUAGGGGUAACUAGAAUUCCUGGUGUAGGAGUGAAAUCCGUAGAUAUUAGAAGGAACACCAAUAGCGAAGGCAGGUUGCUGGGACGGUUCUGACACUCAGGCGCGAAAGCGUAGGGAGCAAACGGGAUUAGAUACCCUUGUAGUC
rnacentral:rRNA from 1 species